GGCGCUAUAGUGUAGUGGUUAUCACUCAGGAUUCUGAUCUUGCUUUCCUGAAACCCAGGUUCGAACCCUGGUAGCGCCU
rnacentral:tRNA from 1 species